rnacentral:rRNA from 1 species
UACAGAGGCCUCGAGCGUUGCGCGGAAUCACUGGGCUUAAAGGGUGCGUAGGUGGAUACACAAGUGCCUUGUGAAAUCCCCGGGCUCAACCCGGGAACUGCUUGGUAGACUGUGUGUCUUGAGGUCGGUAGGGGUCGCUGGAACAGUUGGUGGAGCGGUGAAAUGCGUAGAUAUCAACUGGAACGCCAAAGGCGAAGGCAAGCGACUGGGCCGAUUCUGACACUGAGGCACGAAAGCGUGGGGAGCAAACGGG